CGUGAGUAACCUGCCCUUAACUCUGGGAUAAGCCUGGGAAACUGGGUCUAAUACCGGAUAUGACCCGUCACCGCAUGGUGGUGGGUGGAAAGAUUUUUUGGUUUUGGAUGGACUCGCGGCCUAUCAGCUUGUUGGUGAGGUAAUGGCUCACCAAGGCGACGACGGGUAGCCGGCCUGAGAGGGUGACCGGCCACACUGGGACUGAGACACGGCCCAGACUCCUACGGGAGGCAGCAGUGGGGAAUAUUGCACAAUGGGCGCAAGCCUGAUGCAGCGACGCCGCGUGAGGGAUGAAGGCCUUCGGGUUGUAAACCUCUUUCAGUAGGGAAGAAGCGAAAGUGACGGUACCUGCAGAAGAAGCGCCGGCUAACUACGUGCCAGCAGCCGCGGUAAUACGUAGGGCGCAAGCGUUAUCCGGAAUUAUUGGGCGUAAAGAGCUCGUAGGCGGUUUGUCGCGUCUGCCGUGAAAGUCCGGGGCUCAACUCCGGAUCUGCGGUGGGUACGGGCAGACUAGAGUGAUGUAGGGGAGACUGGAAUUCCUGGUGUAGCGGUGAAAUGCGCAGAUAUCAGGAGGAACACCGAUGGCGAAGGCAGGUCUCUGGGCAUUAACUGACGCUGAGGAGCGAAAGCAUGGGGAGCGAACAGGAUUAGAUACCCUGGUAGUCCAUGCCGUAAACGUUGGGCACUAGGUGUGGGGGACAUUCCACGUUUUCCGCGCCGUAGCUAACGCAUUAAGUGCCCCGCCU
rnacentral:rRNA from 1 species